UUGGAGGGCAAGUCUGGUGCCAGCAGCCGCGGUAAUUCCAGCUCCAAUAGCGUAUAUUAAAGUUGUUGCAGUUAAAAAGCUCGUAGUUGAAUUUCGGGAUCAAUUUGUCGGUCGUGCCUCGGUACGUACUGGCAUUAUUGGUUUCUACCUUCUGAAGAACCUUGAUGUCAUUAAUUUGGUGUCUUGGGGAAUCGGGACUGUUACUUUGAAAAAAUUAGAGUGUUUAAAGCAGGCAUACGCUUGAAUACAUUAGCAUGGAAUAAUGAAAUAGGACGUUUGAUUCUAUUUUGUUGGUUUCUAGGAUCGACGUAAUGAUUAAUAGGGAUAGUUGGGGGCAUUAGUAUUCAAUUGUCAGAGGUGAAAUUCUUGGAUUUAUUGAAGACUAGCUACUGCGAAAGCAUUUGCCAAGGAUGUUUUCAUUAAUCAAGAACGAAAGUUAGGGGAUCGAAGACGAUCAGAUACCGUCGUAGUCUUAACCAUAAACUAUGCCGACUAGGGAUCGGAUGAUGUUAUUUUUAAUGACUCAUUCGGCGCCUUACGGGAAACCAAAGUGUUUGGGUUC
rnacentral:rRNA from 1 species